UACGUAGGCAGCAAGCGUUGUUCGGAGUUACUGGGCGUAAAGGGUGCGUAGGCGGCUUUUUAAGUUUGGUGUGAAAUCUCCUGGCUUAACCGGGAGGGUGCGCCGAAUACUGAGAAGCUAGAGUAUGGGAGAGGAAAGUGGAAUUCCUGGUGUAGCGGUGAAAUGCGUAGAUAUCAGGAGGAACACCUGUGGUGUAGACGGCUUUCUGGACCAUAACUGACGCUGAGGCACGAAAGCGUGGGUAG
rnacentral:rRNA from 1 species